rnacentral:rRNA from 1 species
GACGAACGCUGACGGCGUGCUUAACACAUGCAAGUCGAAGGGAGUGGCGAACGGGUGAGUAACACGUGAGUAACCUGCCCUUGUCUUUGGGAUAAGCCUGGGAAAAUGGGUCUAAUACUGGAUGGAUUGGGAUGGGCGCGCGGCUUAUCAGCUUGUUGGUGGGGUGAUGGCUUACCAAGGCUUUGACGGGUAGCCGGCAUUAGAGGGUGGUCGUUGAAACUGGGCAUGUGAUACGGGCCAGACUCAGUCGGGAGGCAGCAGUGGGGGAUAUUGCACAAUGGACGAAAGUCUGAUGCAUCGACGUCGUGUGGAGGAUGAAGGCCGUCGGGUUGUAAACUCCUUUCGCCCGCGGAAUGGUAGUGGGUAAAGAAGCGCCGGCUAACUACGUGCCAGCAGCCGCGGUAAUUC